rnacentral:rRNA from 1 species
UGGGGAAUCUUGCACAAUGGGCGAAAGCCUGAUGCAGCAACGCCGCGUGCGGGAAGACAGCCCUAGGGUUGUAAACCGCUUUCAGCAGGGAAGAAACUGACGGUACCUGCAGAAGAAGAUGCGGCCAACUACGUGCCAGCAGCCGCGGUGACACGUAGGCAUCAAGCGUUAUCCGGAUUUAUUGGGCGUAAAGAGCUCGUAGGCGGUUCGGUAAGUCGGGUGUGAAAAUCCAAGGCUCAACCUUGGGACGCCACCCGAUACUGCUGUGACUCGAGUGCAGUAGGGGAGCAGGGAAUUCCUGGUGUAGCGGUGAAAUGCGCAGAUAUCAGGAGGAACACCAGUGGCGAAGGCGCUGCUCUGGGCUGUAACUGACGCUGAGGAGCGAAAGCAUGGGUAGCAAACAGGAUUAGAUACCCUGGUAGUCCAUGCCGUAAACGUUGGGCACUAGGUGUGGGUCUCAACCAACGAGAUCCGCGCCGUCGCUAACGCAUUAAGUGCCCGCCUGGGAGUACGGUCGCAAGACUAAAACU